GUCUACAGCCAUACCACCCUGAACGCCCCCGAUCUCGUCUGAUCUCGGAAGCUAAGCAGCGUCGGGCCUGGUUAGUACUUGGAUGGGAGACAGAGAGUGAGAGAGCACAAGCAGGCAGAGU
rnacentral:rRNA from 1 species